GCUUCUCUGCCUGGAACAGUCUGCUCUCGGCCUCAUCAGCACAGGGCUCUGCUCAGAACUCUUCCCCCAAAGGUCUGCAGGGCGUCGCUUUCCUCAGCAGCCUGGACGCCCUCUCCUCCACUCCAGGCUUUGCUGGGCUGUGGUGCCGGUGCCGAAAAGGCCAGGGCCACCACUUAGCACAGAAACCUAGUCCAGCGACACCUGCUAAGUGCUGGGUCCAGGCCCUGACCCCAGCACAUACUCACCAGUGGGAUGAGGUCACGCAGCUUCAACGUCCCCCACGCAUUCCCCAUCCAGCCAGGGCCCAGGGCCACCAGCUUCCAAAGCCUGUGCUUCCAGCCUGCCGGCCCUCUGAGGAUCGCUCUUGGAUUUGUCUUUUUCAUAGUACUGGGGGUUGGACCCAGGGCCUUCAUACUGAGCUCCAGCCCCUUCUACAACGUCGCUAUAUUGUCCAGCCUGGGCCACAGCUUGUGAUCCUCCUGCCUCACCCUCUGGGAGUGCUGGGAUGACAGGACUGAACCACCACACCAGCCUGUCUUGUUUUUAAUCACACUACUCUCAGACUGUCCUCCUGCAGAUCCUCCUUGAGAAAGCACCACCACCUCAUCACAUCUUUAAAACCCAGCCCCUGGAGUGGGUCCAGGGCAACAAGAAAGGUGUUCUGCACUGAGAGUCCACCUCACCCCAGAAAGAAUGGCUGCUAUCAAGAAAUCAACCAAUGGGCUGGGGAUUUAGCUCAGUGGUUCCAGUGCCGUCCUCGCAAGCGCACGGUCCUGAGUUCGAUCCCCAGUACCAAAAAAAAAAACC
rnacentral:lncRNA from 1 species